AAUUCGUUUAUGAUUUUAAUCUCUUAAGGAUAAGCUUAAGAGAAAGAGUAGAGAAAAUAGAAAUCUAACUUGAUGACAUAGGCUUGAAAUUAGCUAUUGAUUAAACUUGUUAUAAAGUAGUAACUUAAUAAGGAAAAAUAUUUGUAUUUUAUAAUUGCGGAUAAAUAAGAACAAUAAGAGGAACUAAAUUGACCUAAAUUAGCUUAUGCUAAAAUGAGUAUUAGAAAUCUUAAUCUUUUAAGCAGGAACGUUAACAAUGCUUAUAGCUAAUUAUUCAUAGAAGAUGAAGUAAAGGAUAGGAACUCGGCAAAAUUUAGCUUCGCCUGUUUAUCAAAAACAUGGCUUCUUGUUAAAAAUAAGAAGUCUGACCUGCCCGGUGAAAAUUUUAACGGCCGCGGUACUCUGACCGUGCAAAGGUAGCAUAAUCAUUUGCCUUAUAAUUGGAGGCUGGUAUGAAUGGUUUGACGGAAGCAAAACUGUCUUUUCUUUAUUACCUAGAAUUUGACUUUUAGGUGAAGAGGCCUAAAUAUAAUUGAAAGACAAGAAGACCCUGUCGAGCUUCAAGGUAGCUUAGGUAAAUAGCUUAUAAAUCUAGAUUUGUUACUAAGUUUAUCCUUUUGGUUGGGGCGACUAAGGAACAAGUAAAGCUUCCUUUAUUUUUUUUGCUUAUCAGCACUGAUCCAACAAGGUUGAUUAAAAGAAUUAGUUACCGCAGGGAUAACAGCAUAAUCUCUCUCGAGAGACCAAAUCGAAAGAGGGGGUUGUGACCUCGAUGUUGGACUAGAAUAUCCUAAAGGUGUAGAAGUCU
rnacentral:rRNA from 1 species